rnacentral:rRNA from 1 species
AGAGUUUGAUCAUGGCUCAGAUUGAACGCUGGCGGCAGGCCUAACACAUGCAAGUCGAGCGGUAGCACAGAGAGCUUGCUCUCGGGUGACGAGCGGCGGACGGGUGAGUAAUGUCUGGGAAACUGCCUGAUGGAGGGGGAUAACUACUGGAAACGGUAGCUAAUACCGCAUAAUGUCGCAAGACCAAAGUGGGGGACCUUCGGGCCUCAUGCCAUCAGAUGUGCCCAGAUGGGAUUAGCUAGUAGGUGGGGUAACGGCUCACCUAGGCGACGAUCCCUAGCUGGUCUGAGAGGAUGACCAGCCACACUGGAACUGAGACACGGUCCAGACUCCUACGGGAGGCAGCAGUGGGGAAUAUUGCACAAUGGGCGCAAGCCUGAUGCAGCCAUGCCGCGUGUGUGAAGAAGGCCUUCGGGUUGUAAAGCACUUUCAGCGGGGAGGAAGGCGAUAAGGUUAAUAACCUUGUCGAUUGACGUUACCCGCAGAAGAAGCACCGGCUAACUCCGUGCCAGCAGCCGCGGUAAUACGGAGGGUGCAAGCGUUAAUCGGAAUUACUGGGCGUAAAGCGCACGCAGGCGGUCUGUCAAGUCGGAUGUGAAAUCCCCGGGCUCAACCUGGGAACUGCAUUCGAAACUGGCAGGCUAGAGUCUUGUAGAGGGGGGUAGAAUUCCAGGUGUAGCGGUGAAAUGCGUAGAGAUCUGGAGGAAUACCGGUGGCGAAGGCGGCCCCCUGGACAAAGACUGACGCUCAGGUGCGAAAGCGUGGGGAGCAAACAGGAUUAGAUACCCUGGUAGUCCACGCCGUAAACGAUGUCGAUUUGGAGGUUGUGCCCUUGAGGCGUGGCUUCCGGAGCUAACGCGUUAAAUCGACCGCCUGGGGAGUACGGCCGCAAGGUUAAAACUCAAAUGAAUUGACGGGGGCCCGCACAAGCGGUGGAGCAUGUGGUUUAAUUCGAUGCAACGCGAAGAACCUUACCUGGUCUUGACAUCCACAGAACUUUCCAGAGAUGGAUUGGUGCCUUCGGGAACUGUGAGACAGGUGCUGCAUGGCUGUCGUCAGCUCGUGUUGUGAAAUGUUGGGUUAAGUCCCGCAACGAGCGCAACCCUUAUCCUUUGUUGCCAGCGGUCAGGCCGGGAACUCAAAGGAGACUGCCAGUGAUAAACUGGAGGAAGGUGGGGAUGACGUCAAGUCAUCAUGGCCCUUACGACCAGGGCUACACACGUGCUACAAUGGCAUAUACAAAGAGAAGCGACCUCGCGAGAGCAAGCGGACCUCAUAAAGUAUGUCGUAGUCCGGAUUGGAGUCUGCAACUCGACUCCAUGAAGUCGGAAUCGCUAGUAAUCGUAGAUCAGAAUGCUACGGUGAAUACGUUCCCGGGCCUUGUACACACCGCCCGUCACACCAUGGGAGUGGGUUGCAAAAGAAGUAGGUAGCUUAACCUUCGGGAGGGCGCUUACCACUUUGUGAUUCAUGACUGGGGUGAAGUCGUAACAAGGUAACCGUAGGGGAACCUGCGGUUGGAUCACCU